UCCUACGGGAGGCAGCAGUCGGGAAUUUUGGGCAAUGGGCGAAAGCCUGACCCAGCAACGCCGCGUGAAGGAUGAAGUAUUUCGGUAUGUAAACUUCGAAAGAAUGGGAAGAAUAAAUGACGGUACCAUUUAUAAGCUCCGGCUAACUACGUGCCAGCAGCCGCGGUAAUACGUAGGGAGCAAGCGUUGUUCGGAUUUACUGGGCGUAAAGGGCGCGUAGGCGGCAGAUCAAGUCAGCUGUGAAAUCUCCGAGCUUAACUCGGAACGGUCAGCUGAUACUGUUUUGCUAGAGUGCAGAAAGGGCAAUCGGAAUUCUUGGUGUAGCGGUGAAAUGCGUAGAUAUCAAGAGGAACACCUGAGGCGAAGGCGGGUUGCUAGGCUGGCACUGACGCUGAGUGCGCGAAAGCCAGGGGAGCAAACGGGAUUAGAUACCCCGGUAGUCCUGGCCCUAAACGAUGAAUACUUGGUGUCUGGAGUUUCAAUACUCCGGGUGCCGUCGCUAACGUUUUAAGUAUUCCGCCUGGGGAGUACGUACGCAAGUAUGAAACUCAAAGGAAUUGACGGGGACCCGCACAAGCGGUGGAGCAUGUGGUUUAAUUCGACGCAACGCGAAGAACCUUACCUGGACUAGAAUGUGAGGGAAUGUCGGGUAAUGCCGACAGUCCGGGAAACCGGACCCAAAACAAGGUGCUGCAUGGCUGUCGUCAGCUCGUGUCGUGAGAUGUUGGGUUAAGUCCCGCAACGAGCGCAACCCUUAUCAACAGUUGCCAUCAUUAAGUUGGGAACUCUGUUGAGACUGCCGUUGAUAAAACGGAGGAAGGUGGGGAUGAUGUCAAGUCAUCAUGGCCUUUAUGUUCAGGGCUACACACGUGCUACAAUGGCCGGUACAAAACGUCGCAAUCCCGCAAGGGGGAGCUAAUCGUUAAAACCGGUCUCAGUUCGGAUUGAAGUCUGCAACUCGACUUCAUGAAGUUGGAAUCGCUAGUAAUCGCAAAUCAGCAUGUUGCGGUGAAUACGUUCCCGGGCCUUGUACACACCGCCA
rnacentral:rRNA from 1 species